CCUACGGGUGGCAGCAGUGAGGAAUAUUGGUCAAUGGGCGCAAGCCUGAACCAGCCAAGUAGCGUGAAGGAUGACUGCCCUACGGGUUGUAAACUUCUUUUAUAAAGGAAUAAAGUGUGACACGUGUGCCUUUUUGUAUGUACUUUAUGAAUAAGGAUCGGCUAACUCCGUGCCAGCAGCCGCGGUAAUACGGAGGAUCCGAGCGUUAUCUGGAUUUAUUGGGAUUAAAGGGAGCGUAGAUGGGUUGUUAAGUCAGUUGUGAAAGUUUGCGGCUCAACCGUAAAAUUGCAUUUGAUACUGGCAGUCUUGAGUACAGUUGAGGUAGGCGGAAUUCGUGGUGUAGCGGUGAAAUGCUUAGAGAUCACGAAGAACACCGAUUGCGAAGGCAGCUUACUAAACUGCCACUGACGUUGAUGCUCGAAAGUGUGGGUAGCAAACAGGAUUAGAUACCCCGGUAGUC
rnacentral:rRNA from 1 species